rnacentral:misc_RNA from 1 species
AAGUCGUAACAAGGUCUCCGUUGGUGAACCAGCGGAGGGAUCAUUAUAGAGUGUUCUAAACUCCAAACCUUUGUGAACCUACCAUUGUUGCUUCGGCGGGACCGUCCCGGGUGCGCCUCGGCGUGACCCGGACCAAGGCGCCCGCCGGGGGAUUCAAACUCUUGUUUUCUAGAGAAUUUCUGAGUGGCAUAAGCAAAUAAUCAAAACUUUCAGCAACGGAUCUCUUGGUUCUG